rnacentral:rRNA from 1 species
UACGAAGGGGGCUAGCGUUGUUCGGAUUUACUGGGCGUAAAGCGCACGUAGGCGGAUUGUUAAGUCAGGGGUGAAAUCCCGGAGCUCAACUCCGGAACUGCCUUUGAUACUGGCAAUCUUGAGACUGGAAGAGGUUAGUGGAAUUCCCAGUGUAGAGGUGAAAUUCGUAGAUAUUGGGAAGAACACCAGUGGCGAAGGCGGCUAACUGGUCCAGUACUGACGCUGAGGUGCGGAAAGCGUGGGGA